rnacentral:rRNA from 1 species
GAUGAACGCUGGCGGCGUGCCUAAUACAUGCAAGUCGAGCGAACGGACGAGAAGCUUGCUUCUCUGAUGUUAGCGGCGGACGGGUGAGUAAAACGUGGAUAACCUACCUAUAAGACUGGGAUAAUUUCGGGAAACCGGAGCUAAUACCGGAUAAUAUUUUGAACCGCAUGAUUCAAAAGUGAAAGACGGUUUUGCUGUCACUUAUAGAUGGAUCCGCGCUGCAUUAGCUAGUUGGUAAGGUAACGGCUUACCAAGGCAACGAUGCGUAGCCGACCUGAGAGGGUGAUCGGCCACACUGGAACUGAGACACGGUCCAGACUCCUACGGGAGGCAGCAGUAGGGAAUCUUCCGCAAUGGGCGAAAGCCUGACGGAGCAACGCCGCGUGAGUGAUGAAGGUCUUCGGAUCGUAAAACUCUGUUAUUAGGGAAGAACAUAUGUGUAAGUAACUGUGCACAUCUUGACGGUACCUAAUCAGAAAGCCACGGCUAACUACGUG